GACGAACGCUGGCGGCGUGCUUAACACAUGCAAGUCGAACGGUGAACUCCGCUUGCGGGGGGAUCAGUGGCGAACGGGUGAGUAACACGUGGGCAACCUGUCCUCAGCUCUGGGAUAACUCCAAGAAAUUGGGGCUAAUACCGGAUAUGACCGCUGACCGCAUGGUCUGGUGGUGGAAAGAUUUAUCGGCUGGGGAUGGGCCCGCGGCCUAUCAGCUUGUUGGUGGGGUAGUGGCCUACCAAGGCGACGACGGGUAGCCGGCCUGAGAGGGUGACCGGCCACACUGGGACUGAGACACGGCCCAGACUCCUACGGGAGGCAGCAGUGGGGAAUAUUGCGCAAUGGGCGAAAGCCUGACGCAGCGACGCCGCGUGGGGGAUGACGGCCUUCGGGUUGUAAACCUCUUUCAGCAGGGACGAAGCGAAAGUGACGGUACCUGCAGAAGAAGCACCGGCCAACUACGUG
rnacentral:rRNA from 1 species